AACGAACGCUGGCGGCGUGCCUAACACAUGCAAGUCGAACGCGAAAAGCAGUAAUGCUGAGUAGAGUGGCGCACGGGUGAGUAACACGUAAAUGACAUGUCCUCGAGACGGGAAUAACCAGCCGAAAGGCUGGCUAAUACCCGGUAAGCCCACGUCUUUGGAGAUGAGGGAAAAGGGUCGGGAAUUUUCGAAUCCGAUCGCUUGAGGAGUGGUUUGCGGCCCAUCAGGUAGUUGGCGAGGUAAAAGCUCACCAAGCCUAAGACGGGUAGCUGGUCUGAGAGGAUGAUCAGCCACACUGGAACUGAGACACGGUCCAGACUCCUACGGGAGGCAGCAGUGGGGAAUCUUGCACAAUGGGAGCAAUCCUGACGCAGCAACGCCGCGUGGGUGAUGAAGGUCUUCGGAUCGUAAAGCCCUGUCGGAGGGGAAGAUGCUUGGAACGUCUAAUAGAUGAGCCAGGUGACGGUACCCUCAAAGGAAGCACCGGCU
rnacentral:rRNA from 1 species